AGCAUAUAAAUAAGCGGAGNAAAAGAAACUAACAAGGAUUCCCUUAGUAACGGCGAGUGAAGCGGGAAUAGCUCAAUUUUAAAACCUAUCAUUUUUACUAAUGAUCGGAUUGUAAAUUAUAGAAGUUUUACCUAGUAAAAACUUGAGAAUAAGUCCACUGGAAUGUGGUACCUUAGAGGGUGAUAGUCCCGUAAUUUUCAAGAGAUUUUAUUGUGUGGUAAACUUUCAAAGAGUCGAGUUGUUUGGGAUUGCAACUCAAAAUGGGUGGUAAACUUCAUCUAAAGCUAAAUAUUUAUGAGAGACCGAUAGCGAACAAGUACCGUAAGGGAAAGAUGAAAAGAACUCUGAAGAGAGAGUUAAAUAGUACGUGAAAUUGUUGAAAGGGAAACGUUUAAAACCAUUGUUUAUCCUUAGUAAUUUUUAUAGUAAAUUUAUUAGUUUUACUAGUAAAUUUCAUAAAUUAUUGGGGUGGUCAAUGCUAGUUAAAUUUUGUUGAAAAAAUUAGUAGGAAAUUAGGUGAUUUUACUACUAAAAUCUUAGGGUUUUAGUAAGGAUCAUUUUUUAUAGACUACUUUUAUUUAAACAAAAAUUUGACUAAGGAUUAUAGUAAUAAAUUCCCUCGGGAGUUUGGGAUUUUUUUCCCAGUAUUANNNANNNGNUUGUUGAUUAAAUGGUAUUAAACGACCCGUC
rnacentral:rRNA from 1 species